rnacentral:lncRNA from 10 species
AACGUCUGAGCGAGUUUGAAGUGCUAUUUACAGAAACUGAAUUCAGCUGGUGCUGCUCAGAACUGCCUUGCAGUCUGCAGGGCAUUACACCAGGAUGCUGGACAGCAAAUGACGGAAGGGCUUGGAAGGGAGGAGAAAAUAGAUGAUCUUGUCCGCAUAAUAAUACAGGGAAGAUGUAUAAAGGAAAGAAUCUUUGCAAGAUCAAAUUAGAAGUAUUAUUUGCUGAAAGGCAAUAUUCUCCACUCUAGGCUUGUGAGAGCCGAGCUCCUUGUCUCCCAGGGAGCUUUGGUUUGACUUUCAUCUUGAUAUUGAAUUUAAGCCUCAUAUUUUAUGAUAAAUGUAUGUAGCCCUCAGCCUGCCUGAUAAUAACAACUGCACCUACCAUGGACGUUCUAUUCAGAAGAAGGACUGGGAGUGGUCUCGUCUGAUUACUGGAAUCUGUUGCUAAUUAACUAAAAUCUCCCUCUUGUUUGAGCAGUCCUUCGUGGGAUUCUUCCUAAAGCACAUCUGCUUGCUUUGCUGUCUUGCCUAAGUAAAGAACACCAUUGUGAACAGAAUUGAAUUCCUGGAGGCAGGCGGCUUCCCGUGGUUCUGCAUGGCCUACAGGGCAAUGCUAAGACCAGCAGGUGGAAGCCACAGGGAUCUUAAUAUCAGUUCACUGGGGGAAGAACUUUCUACCAUGGAGAGUUCUCUGAGAAUGGAAAUGCUAGACUGCCUUGGGAGGUGGGUAAUGAGUCCCCUGUUUUUAGGGGAAACUGUCGGUGGAGCUGGGUGAACCCAUGGAAGGGCGUCCUUACCAGUUCGCAUCACCGAAUCAGACAACGUUUAAAUUUAAUGACACUGGCCGGGUGCAGUGGCUCACGCCUAUAAUCCCAGCACUUUGGGAGGAUCACUUGAUGCCAGGAGUUCAAGACCAGUCUGGACAACAUAGUGAGACCCCAUCUCUACAAAAAAGACAACAUUAAAAAAC